UUUUUAACGCAUUAUAAUUUUUCAGCCAUCAUGAAAUCCAUCCUUGUUGUCGCUCUUGCUCUGGCCUGCGUGCUCGGACUCGCUACCGCCAAUUACGGAUACUACCCCAGUACUGGUGGCUCCGGUCUUGGUGGACAGUCAGGACUGAUGAUGUUGUUGCUCCUCUUCUUCCUCCUCUUUUUCCUUAACAACAACAACACCAGCAGCAGUGGUACCAUCACCAUCACAAACGCUUCCGCUACCGGUUAAAUAAAUGAACAGCUGACGUAAAAGAACGAAGAGUGAACAAUUAACAUUUGGGCAUGUUUCGAGAACACGUGUACAGAUAACAAAUGCACGUGGAAUUAUUUAUUGUGCUGUACUAUGAUGUUUUUAAAUAAAACGUGAUAAACCUA